AUUCCUUGAUGAGGAACUCUGGGAAAAGGGAACCUUUAUGACUGGGACUUGGUCUGGAGGAGAGCUGGUGGGAGCACCACCUUGUGGCAGUCCAUAAGAGAGCCUAGAGUUCAGGUUUGGAACUAGCGGGCUUGAAGUAGCUCCCCAGGGGCCUCAGGUCUUAGCUUCAGCCACAAGCCCAGUUUUCUGCUGUUGGUAAGAGCAGCCCUACAUGUGGUCUGAGAGCUUGUGUGCUUUGCACAUCACUGACUGGAGGCUGGACCAGGUGUUCUCUGGGAAAAAAAAAGACCGAGCCGUGCCUUCAAGGAGCUGCUGCUUAGGGAGCCAAAGCUUGGCAGGGGCCAAGAGGAGACUGAUGGCAUCGUCUUAAGUUACCGGAUGACUUCACGUAUCCCGAGAGGCAGUUGCAAGGACAGUCAAUUCCCCCAGGUGGGCCCCAGACUUUUACUUAAUGUCCUCUAUUCUACCACACCAAAAAUCCUGGUUUCUGAUACCUAUAGACGCUCUCCUUUGAUUUCCCCAUGGUAUGUAUAUCUAACUGUUUAGCUCUCUCUCUCUCUCUCUCUCUCUCUCUCUCUCUCUCUCUCUCUGUGUGUGUGUGUGUGUUCCCACCCACACAUGUGUUUGUGCCUUUUAUUAUUUCAACAAUGAAUUGUUCAGUUAAUUCACACUGGUAAUUAGUGUUUAUGCUGCCAGCUAUAGCUUCAUGGAUUCAUCACUUUUCUCAUUGCUAUGAUAAAAUAACUGACAGGAAGCAACGUAGGAUCUUCAUUCUGUUUCAUACUUUGGGGGAUACAGUUCAUCGUUAUGGGAAGGUGUGGCAGAGGUGGCUUUGGGGUAGCAGGAGCCUAUGACAACUCGCUUGCUUACAGUUCAGUGGGGAUGGCAAGCAGAGGGCCCACCCUGCCCCAGAAGGCAUCCAUUACUUCCUCCAGCCAGGAUCCACUGCCUAAAAACCUCACAACCCGAACAGCAGCAGCAUCUGGAGGACAUACAUAAAGCUCUCAGCUACUUCUCCACAACUGUGCCUGCCUUCCACUCUCCCUGCCAUGAUGAUAAUGGAACAAUCGUCUGCAAUUGUAAGCAAAUCCCCAAUUAAAUGCUUCCUUUUUAUAAGAAUUGUCUUGGUCAUGGUGUUCUUCACAGCAAUAAAAUAGUAGCUAAGAUACAUUUCUUAGAUAGGUUUUCUUAUACAAGCCAGAUUUUAAUAUUUAUGAAUAUUGUGUAAACUCUUUCCAUAGCUCUCCAUUUCCACAAAACCUGCCCCCUUUAAAAACCCAUUUCUCCAGCCUUAUUUGUGUUCUUUCUUUACAGGAAAUAAUUGAAACACGUUUAUGCUUUUUCUUUCUAUUAUUUUAUUGUUCAUAUAGGCAAAAGUGUAUAUAAGUUCAUAAUCUCUUGCCUUUUCUUAGGUAAAUAAAACAUUGACAUACCGUGAGGUUUAGUGCUAAUUGUCAACUUGACAGAGUCACAAGGGAGAUGAGCCUCUGGGCAUGCCCUGUGUGUGUGUGUGUGUGUGUGUGUGUGUGUGUGUGUGUUUUAUCUUGAUUAUGUUAAUUGAGGUGGGUAGACCCAUUUUAAUUGUGGGUGAGACCAUUUCCUGGGCAGGUGAUCCUGGACUUAAGAGUUGGAGCAAUUGAUAAUCUCCCCCUCCCCCACUCCUUCCCCCUCCCCCUCUCCCUCUCCCUCUCUCUGCUCUAUAACUAACUGGGGAUGCCACACGGCCAGCUGCUUCCACCUCCCAACACCUUGACUUUGUUGUAAUGAUAGACUAGAACCCAGAGUUGUGGGCUGAAUAAACCCUAUCUCUCUUCAGUUGCUUUUGUCUGGGUAUCUUAUCACAGCAACAGACAAGAAAGUGAGACACACACAAAGCCCGUUUCCCCCCUACCAUUCCUUAUUCAUUUAGCCAUGUAGGCUGGAUCAUGCCUUUUUGUGGCUGCAUAGUCUAUUUGUGAAUGCAUUGUAGAUGAUACAAUCAGUUCUUUGAUGAUGGACAGCUGGCUCGCUUCCAGGCUUUUUAUUAUUACUAAGAGUGCUACAGUGAACAGAACUGUGUUUGUGUCAUUUUAUAUUUUAACUAAUGUCUUUUUGAGAUGUCUAGAAUGCUUAUUUCAGAGUUAAAGGAUAAAUGCAUCGUAAUUUGAUUAUUGACAAAAUUGCCUCCAUAGGGGUGCACAGUUUUGUGUUCUCAUUAGCAAUACAUGAGUGUACCCGCUUCUCCACUGGCUCUCCGAUAGAGUCUGCUGUCAUACUUUGGGGCUUUUUGUCAGUCUGAUAGGUGAGAGACGGUGUCUCAGGGUAGCUUAGUCUGUGUUUC